rnacentral:rRNA from 1 species
AACGAACGCUGGCGGCAUGCCUAACACAUGCAAGUCGAACGAGACCUUCGGGUCUAGUGGCGCACGGGUGCGUAACGCGUGGGAACCUGCCCUUAGGUUCGGAAUAACUCCCCGAAAGGGGUGCUAAUACCGGAUAAUGUCUUCGGACCAAAGAUUUAUCGCCUUUGGAUGGGCCCGCGUUGGAUUAGCUAGUUGGUAGGGUAAAAGCCUACCAAGGCGACGAUCCAUAGCUGGUCUGAGAGGAUGAUCAGCCACACUGGGACUGAGACACGGCCCAGACUCGUACGGGAGGCAGCAGUGGGGAAUAUUGGAGAAGGGGCGAAAGCCUGAUCCAGCAAUGCCGCGUGAGUGAUGAAGGCCUUAGGGUUGUAAAGCUGUUUUACCCGGGAUGAUAAUGACAGUACCGGGAGAAUAAGCGCCGGCUAACUCCGUG